rnacentral:rRNA from 1 species
CCUACGGGAGGCAGCAACCGGGAAUAUUGCGCAAUGGGCGAAAGCCUGACGCAGCGACACCGCGUGUGGGAUGACGCUCUUCGGAGUGUAAACCACUGUGGCGAGGGAAUAAUUAAUGAAGGUACCUCGCUAGAAAGCACCAGCUAACUACGUGCCAGAAGCUUCGGUAAUACGUAGGGUGCGAGCGUUAUCCGGAUUUACUGGGCGUAAAGGGUCCGUCGGCGUCUGUGCAAGUUUUUUGUUUAAGCCUGGGGCUCAACUUCAGAAAAGCAAAAAAUACUGUACGGAUAGAGUUUGUUCGAGGAAGUUGGAAUUCUUGGUGGAGGGGUGAAAUCCGUAGAUAUCAAGAGGAACACCGCGCGCGAAGGCAGGCUUCUAGAACAAUACUGACGCUCAUGGACGAAAGCUUGGGUAGCAAAGC